UACGGAGGGAGCUAGCGUUGUUCGGAUUUACUGGGCGUAAAGCGCACGUAGGCGGCUCGUUAAGUCGGGGGUGAAAUCCUGGAGCUCAACUCCAGAACUGCCUUCGAUACUGGCGAUCUUGAGUCCGGAAGAGGUGAGUGGAACUCCUAGUGUAGAGGUGGAAUUCGUAGAUAUUAGGAAGAACACCAGUGGCGAAGGCGGCUCGCUGGUCCGGUACUGACGCUGAGGUGCGAAAGCGUGGGGAGCAAACAGG
rnacentral:rRNA from 1 species